GCGACUAAUUUGCAUCCCUAUGAGCCCAACAAGCCAAAAGAAGGUGGCCCUAUUUUUACUAGAAUACGUGUAGACGAGGGAGCCUUGGAGAAGGACAAAGGUGAUUAUGUCAACAAGUGGUACAAGAGGCGUAAAAGACGUAAAGAAAAGGAAAGCAUGGCAGAGUGCGGAAGUGGAAUUAAAAUAAAGAUACUUGAAGAGUCAAGAAGGUGAAACAGGGCACUACCGUAGUGUAACAACCCGACUUUUCGGAUUGUUAUCCGGUUGCUUUUGCUUCGAUUUGUAACCAUCUUUUACUCCGAGAUUCGAUAUAAAUAAAGGGUUAUGUUAUACUAAA